UUUCUGGAUCCUUUUCUCCCUGUUCCAUUUCCUGGGUGGCCAUGACCUGAGCCUCCAACUGGACCUUGGCAGCCCUCCUGUUGCUCCUCCUGCCUUGGGUGCAAUCGCUAGUUGUCCUGGGAUGCCAGAGGCGACUCCUCAACCCUGAGGGACCCUUGAUGGUGCUCCCUCACAGGACCUGUAUAAUGCCUCACUAUGAGGCUCCUCUGAGGGCCUGGGGUCCUCCUCCUCUCAGUUUUUACUUGUGUGGGAAAGACUUUAUUUGUCCUUCAAUUUUGAAGGAUAGCUUUACUUAGUUUAAUAUUCUUGGCUGGCAGUUUUUUUUAUUUCAGCACUGUAAUAUAUAUUAUCCCAUUCUCUCCUGACCUGUAAGUUUUUUUUUUUUUUUUUAAACAGGAAAUUCUCUUAUAAGUGACUUGAUGCUUUCCUUUUGCUGUUUUUAGAAUUCUCUCUGUGUUUGACUUUUGACAAUUUGAUUGUAAUGUGCCUUGCAGAAGACCUUUUUGGUUUGAAUCUUUUUUGGGAUUACUGAACAUCCUGUAUCUGGAUGUCUGUAUCUCUUGCAAGACUUAAGAAAUGUUUGACUGUUAUUUUGCUAAAUAGGUUUUCUGUGCCUCUUCCCUUCUCUUUCCUGAAACACCGAGAAUUUAUUUGGUCUGACUGGGUUAUUUCAAAAGACCUGUCUUCAAGUUCAGAAAAUCUUAGUUUUGCUUUAUCUAGCGUACUUUUGAAGCUCUCAGUUGCAUUUUUAAAUUUUAUUCAUUGAAUUUUUCAGUUCCAGGAUUUGUUUGGUUAUUUUUCUAUAUCUAUCUCUACUGACUGUCUUAUUCAGAUCAUGAAUUGUUUUCCUACUUUGUAUUAUCUGUGUUCUCUUGCAACUUGCUGAGUUUCCCUAAGAUCAUUAUUUUGAAUUCCUUUUCUGGCAUUUUUAUAGAUUUCCUUUUCUUUUGAAUCUGUUACUGGAGAAUUAUUGUGUCUCUUUGGAGGUAUCAAAUUUCCUUGCUUUUUCAUGUUUCUUGUGUCCUUACAUUGAUAUCUAUUCAGCUAGUGGAAGAGUUGCUUCUUCCAAUUUUAUGGAUUGGCUUUCAUAAGGAAAGACUUUUUUGUAGGCAUAUCUGUAGUUUUGGUUGUGAUUAGGAUGUUUUGGCUUUGAUUCUGGUGAGCACAGGAGUGUAGGCUCAAUGAUUUCUUCAGCUGUAACCAAUGUAACUGGUGUCAUGUAACCAUGUCACUGUGAGUCCUCAGUGGCUUAAGUUGCCAUUGUUAGCUGAGGCUGUUGUGAGGCUUUUCUGGGGAAAGGGAUGCCAGAGGGGCCAGUCCCUGGGCCUUUUGGUGGCAUGGGCAGGCCUGUUCAGGCCUUGGGAUUGUGUGCGUGGGCACCAGUGGUGUUGGAUGGGGUGGGCCAGUCGUCAGGCCCCCCUACAGAGCAUAUAGGCACCAGUAGUGGCAUGAGGGAAAGAUAGCGCUGGAGAACACUGGUGACAGUGGGUGGAGCAG
rnacentral:lncRNA from 1 species